rnacentral:rRNA from 1 species
UACAAAGGUCUCAAGCGUUGUUCGGAUUCAUUGGGCGUAAAGGGUGCGUAGGUGGCGCCGUAAGUCAGGUGUGAAAUUUCGGAGCUUAACUCCGAAACUGCAUUUGAUACUGCGGUGCUUGAGGACUGGAGAGGAGACUGGAAUUUACGGUGUAGCAGUGAAAUGCGUAGAGAUCGUAAGGAAGACCAGUGGCGAAGGCGGGUCUCUGGACAGUUCCUGACACUGAGGCACGAAGGCCAGGGGAGCAAACGGG